rnacentral:miRNA from 1 species
UUAUGGUUCUCUCCACCUCUCA